AUGCCGCCUCGGAUGUGUUGCUGCCGGCCCCUGUUGCCUCUGUCAAUGGGGACGACUGUCAAUGGGGACGACGUAGGCUGUGAAGAGGAAAUGGCCGUGACGCUGCCUCCACGGGCGGUGUUGUGGGCCUCCGCUGCUGACGACGAUGAAGAUGAAGAUGACGAAGAGGAGUUGGCUCCCCAGACACCGCAGGCUGCCACCAAGGCCCUCGAUUCUGGAGGGAUGUGCGUGGGGCAUGAUGCAGACACAAAUGAGGGUUGGCAGGAGGUGCUACCACGGCGCGGGCCGCGCCCGACUUCAUCGCCUUCCUCGACAAUGGCUCCUCGUCCCAUCCCUGCUUGGCUUCGCGGUAGAUGUUACAGAUGCUUCGCUCAUGGUCAUCGCGCGGCUGUUUGCAAAGAGCCGUUGCGGUGCUCCCGUUGUUUGGAGAACGGUCAUCGUGCGCGUGGAUGUUGCAACCCAUGGCGUCCUCUAAGCUCACUGCCAUGCAAUGAUGUGCCGCUCGUGUCGCAGCUCGACAUCGUGCAUCGUCCUGCUCUUGCUUCAUGUGAGGGUCCGAUGAGAUCCGCACUCCCAUCCAAGGCGCUUCAUCGUGGGUCUUGGGCGUCUGUCGUCUCUGGUUGUCUGGCGCGUGUUGGGAGCUUUUUAGAGCGAGCGGAGGCUGCUCUGAGUAGACUCUCCCUUGCACCGGCUAUGUUGCAGACCUCUCUGACGCCGCACUCUCCUUGUGCGGCCGGUGUUUGCUCCGCGGAGGAGAGGGGGGCGAAGUUAUAUGGCUCCUUCUCCCCUCGUGUUGGAGACAAUUCACCCUCGAUGCCUACCUCCCAUCCUAUGUUGUCUUCCACUAAGGGCGAGUCCAUUGCCAUGCUUGUGGCUCCGGUACUGCAGGUCAUGCCCGAGCUUAGGGAGCUAUGUCUGAGUUUGUCAGUGGACACGUCGACGACCUCGAGCGAGGGUCAAGAUUCACCUUUGUCAAGUGAGCAGCUGGAGGUUCCUAUGGUUGACGAUGCGAGAGGGAAGGCAUCCGUGAUGUCAUGA
rnacentral:rRNA from 1 species